AACGAACGCUGGCGGCGUGCUUAACACAUGCAAGUCGAACGAGAAGUACCGUAGCAAUACGGUAUUGUAAAGUGGCGCACGGGUGAGUAACACGUGGGUAAUCUGCCCUCGAGUUUGGGAUAACCCCGCGAAAGCGGGGCUAAUACCGAAUAAGACCACAGGGACCAAGGUCCCCGGGGUAAAAGGUGGCCUCUAUUCAUAAGCUACCACUUGAGGAUGAGCCCGCGGCCCAUUAGCUAGUUGGUAGGGUAACGGCCUACCAAGGCGAUGAUGGGUAGCUGGUCUGAGAGGACGAUCAGCCACACUGGAACUGAGACACGGUCCAGACUCCUACGGGAGGCAGCAGUGGGGAAUAUUGCUCAAUGGGCGAAAGCCUGAAGCAGCAACGCCGCGUGGGGGAUGAAGGUUCUCGGAUUGUAAACCCCUGUCAGGUGGGAAGAAACCUGCGUAAGCAGCUGACGGUACCACCAAAGGAAGCACCGGCUAACUCCGUGCCAGCCGCCGCCGUAACAC
rnacentral:rRNA from 1 species